AGGAUCAUUAAUGAAAUGAAUGUUGAGAUGGGUUGUAGCUGGCCUUUAUUUUUAGGGGAUGUGCACACCUUGAUCACUCAUCCUCCUCUCACACCUGUGCACUAUAUGUAUCUUGAGAUGACUACGAUGUUGGAAACGAUGUUGAACCCCCUAACUAUUUUUUUUUAUACCCCCUUAUACAAUGUUAUAUAAUGAAUAAUAUUAUAUGUGGUGUAAUACCACAAAAUAUAUACUACUUUCAGCAACGGAUCUCUUGGCUCUCGCAUCGAUGAACAACGCAACGAAAUGCGAUAAGUAAUGUGUAUUGAAUAAUUCGAUGAAUCAUCUAAUCUUUGAACGCACCUUGCCCUCCUUGUUAUUCCGAGGAGCAUGCCUGUUUGAGUGUCAUGAUAUUCUCAACUACCUUUUUAUCAUUUAUGUUGAGGGUGAAGUUGGAGUUGGAGGAUAAUUGCUGGCGCAACUGAUGUUGCUUGUUACCUCCUCUUGAAUGAAUGAUCUUUUCUGAUGGAUCAUACCUCAAUAACACUAAUGUGAUAAUUAUCUAUGUUAGAUGUGAAAGCUGUGAGUAUAGUAACUUCUAAUAUGAAGAUGCUCCUAUAGAAGAGGCAUGUCUUGGAGGAUAACACAUCCUUGACUUUAUUAUUAUGAUGACUAAUCUGACCUCACAUCAAGUACGACUACCCGCUGAACUUAA
rnacentral:rRNA from 1 species